AUGAACGCUAGCUACAGGCUUAACACAUGCAAGUCGAGGGGCAGCAUGAACUUAGCUUGCUAAGUUUGAUGGCGACCGGCGCACGGGUGAGUAACACGUAUCCAACCUGCCGAUGACUCGGGGAUAGCCUUUCGAAAGAAAGAUUAAUACCCGAUGGCAUAAUUCUUCCGCAUGGUAGAAUUAUUAAAGAAUUUCGGUCAUCGAUGGGGAUGCGUUCCAUUAGGUUGUUGGCGGGGUAACGGCCCACCAAGCCUUCGAUGGAUAGGGGUUCUGAGAGGAAGGUCCCCCACAUUGGAACUGAGACACGGUCCAAACUCCUACGGGAGGCAGCAGUGAGGAAUAUUGGUCAAUGGACGAGAGUCUGAACCAGCCAAGUAGCGUGAAGGAUGACUGCCCUAUGGGUUGUAAACUUCUUUUAUACGGGAAUAAAGUGAGGCACGUGUGCCUUUUUGUAUGUACCGUAUGAAUAAGGAUCGGCUAACUCCGUGCCAGCAGCCGCGGUAAUACGGAGGAUCCGAGCGUUAUCCGGAUUUAUUGGGUUUAAAGGGAGCGUAGGCGGACGCUUAAGUCAGUUGUGAAAGUUUGCGGCUCAACCGUAAAAUUGCAGUUGAUACUGGGUGUCUUGAGUACAGUAGAGGCAGGCGGAAUUCGUGGUGUAGCGGUGAAAUGCUUAGAUAUCACGAAGAACUCCGAUUGCGAAGGCAGCCUGCUGGACUGUAACUGACGCUGAUGCUCGAAAGUGUGGGUAUCAAACAGGAUUAGAUACCCUGGUAGUCCACACAGUAAACGAUGAAUACUCGCUGUUUGCGAUAUACAGUAAGCGGCCAAGCGAAAGCGUUAAGUAUUCCACCUGGGGAGUACGCCGGCAACGGUGAAACUCAAAGGAAUUGACGGGGGCCCGCACAAGCGGAGGAACAUGUGGUUUAAUUCGAUGAUACGCGAGGAACCUUACCCGGGCUUGAAAGUUAGUGACGAUUCUGGAAACAGGAUUUCCCUUCGGGGCACGAAACUAGGUGCUGCAUGGUUGUCGUCAGCUCGUGCCGUGAGGUGUCGGCUUAAGUGCCAUAACGAGCGCAACCCUUAUCGAUAGUUACCAUCAGGUUAUGCUGGGGACUCUGUCGAGACUGCCGUCGUAAGAUGUGAGGAAGGUGGGGAUGACGUCAAAUCAGCACGGCCCUUACGUCCGGGGCUACACACGUGUUACAAUGGGGGGUACAGGAGGCAGCUACACGGUGACGUGAUGCUAAUCCCUAAAGCCUCUCUCAGUUCGGAUUGGAGUCUGCAACCCGACUCCAUGAAGCUGGAUUCGCUAGUAAUCGCGCAUCAGCCACGGCGCGGUGAAUACGUUCCCGGGCCUUGUACACACCGCCCGUCAAGCCAUGAAAGCCGGGGGUACCUGAAGUGCGUAACCGCAAGGAGCGCCCUAGGGUAAAACUGGUGAUUGGGGCU
rnacentral:rRNA from 1 species